rnacentral:rRNA from 1 species
AACGAACGCUGGCGGCAUGCCUAACACAUGCAAGUCGAACGAGACCUUCGGGUCUAGUGGCGCACGGGUGCGUAACGCGUGGGAACCUGCCCUUAGGUUCGGAAUAACUCCCCGAAAGGGGUGCUAAUACCGGAUAAUGUCUUCGGACCAAAGAUUUAUCGCCUUUGGAUGGGCCCGCGUUGGAUUAGCUAGUUGGUAGGGUAAAAGCCUACCAAGGCGACGAUCCAUAGCUGGUCUGAGAGGAUGAUCAGCCACACUGGGACUGAGACACGGCCCAGACCCCUAGGGGAGGCAGGAGUGGGGAAUAUUGGACAAUGGGCGAAAGCCUGAUCCAGCAAUGCCGCGGGAGUGAUGAAGGCCUUAGGGUUGUAAAGCUCUUUUACCCGGGAUGAUAAGGACAGUACCGGGAGAAUAAGCCCCGGCUAACCCCGU